rnacentral:tRNA from 1 species
CGUAUCAUACGUCUAGCAGUUAGAACGCUGGCCUUGUAAUCCUGGGGUCCUGGGUUCGAUUCCCGGUGGUGCCC